ensembl:lncRNA
UAUCUGCACUUCCGGUGAUAUAUGUCCAGUGUACCCAUUUGCAGGCAACUCAUUAAUAAAAUUAGCUUUCUUUGAAAAGCUUGCAUUAUGGUUCACAUGAAAAUUAUGACUUGAAUAAUCCUGAAGAAGAAUUUAAUGGAAUUUGUAGUGAGGACACAUUGCUGCAUGCAAUAUCAUCUUAAAGGAAAAAAGGAGUUUAUUGACUCAUAUAACUGAAAAUUUUUGGUAUAGGUCCGUCUUCAGGCAAUGCUGUAUUUGAGGAUUAUAAUAAGGUCCUUAAGAUUUGGUCUCUCUUUACCUCUCAAUCUCUGCUUUCUUUUUUCUUUUCUUUCUUUUGCAUCUGCUUCAUUUCAAGUCGGCCAAACAACAGACCCUUCUCCACCUCCUCCCUCUUUCAGGGCAAAAUUUCUCCUAAAAUUAUAAUAAAAUAUCUUUGGGAUUGAGUUUGGUCCUAACUUGGGUUCUCUAAAUUGAAUCACUCUGUUCAUCAGGUGUGAUACUCUGAUGGGCAGUACCUAAGGCACAUGCAAGCCCAGACCCAAAGGUGAGAUCAACUCUCUUGUUUCAUAUGUAUUGAGAAUGGGGAGGGCAAGGUAUCUCUAAAGGCUGUUAAGUGAAUAUGGGAGAUUUGACAUAGACAGGGAAAAAGAUAUCUAAUAUAACUUCAUAUAUUUUUCUACAUAUGGAAGCUCUAUAUAUGUGUAUAUAUAAAAUUUAUAUUAUAUAUGAAUUGUAUAUAUUAUAUAUAUAUAUAUAUAUAUAUAUAUAUAUAUAUAUAUAUAUAUAUAUAUAUAUUUAUAUUUAUAUUGUUGGACAGAUUAGGAGAGAUGAAGGCCUUGGAAAACAUCCAAAUUUUGACACCAUGAAGGCAAGGAGACUGUUUUCCCGUUACCCUGCAAACCUAUUACUGUGGAGGAUGAAGAGGGUUAUGUCUCUUAGAUGGCUGCUACUGGCUGAGCUACUGAGAAACCAUGGUGAAAGGUGGAUCUCAGACUGAUGGAUGCCUCCAAAAAAGCUACCCUGAUGGGCUCCAGAUAACGUUAUGGACCCGACUCUGGUCUAGUAGACCCACCUGUCUGUCUCACUCCAGCUUUUCCGUCCAUCUCUGUGAUGGGAACACCACACACACAGGUGAUUUCAAUCGGAGAUGUGGUCAUAUUUGUAAUUCAAAUAGCAGUGAUUACAUUCGUAACACAAUCCUUAUAGAAAUCAAGGAAAAUACUGAAGUUUAUUGACAACACUGAAUAAUUUGGAGAUGAGCACUGUAUUUGAUAGCAAGUGGGAGAAAAUAUGGAGUAGCUCUUAUCUCAUCUCAUAUACUAGUCCUCAAUUUCUACUGAUAUUUCCUUGCUGGAGUGUCCAUGGUAUGAAAUUUUCAUGCUUCUCCUUUGUGUCUGAAUUCUGUUGUGUGCCUGGCCUAUGUAUCCGUCUUGGGUUCUAUUCCUCCUGCCACCCUUGAGUUGGGGCCCUCAUGUGGGGAGGUGUUUUUAGAUGUAGAAACAGAGUCUCAUAUUGAAUGCUUGUAUAGUUUAUCUGGUGCCUGGUGCCUCUGUUCCUUCCAAGCACAUCCACAUAGUGACGUGCUUUUAAGCCCGAGGUUCUCUGACCUGUGGGAGAGAUGCAUCAGGUCCUCUUUCUGCAUUUUGAGGGUGCAUUUUGGUACUCUGCAGAAAAGAAAAAAGUGUCUCUCUUCCUUUGCCAAAUGCAUCAGUCAUGGUGUUGUAACUAACAAAAUUUCUCUUCAGUUCCCUAAAUCUAUUCCUCUACUGUAGUCUAUCUUAGUGAAAAGCACCACCAUCCAGUCAAUUACAUAUGCCUGGACACCUUGGCUAUCACUGAUGUCUUCCGUCACAUCCACUAAAUCUUACACAGUUUGCCUUUUUAUUUAUCUCUUAAAUCUGAUCUCUCUUCCCCAUCUUCUGUGCCCUGUUUAGUUCAGGUGUGCCUUGUUUCUCAUCCAAGUUAACAUAGUAGCGUCCAUUCUGAAUUCUGUUGCUGCCAUUCUAUUUUUAUUUCUAUUUCAAACAUAAUGAUGUCAAUCUUCUACUUAAAAUCCUAAAUAGUCCCCAUAAUAUUCAGAAUAAAGUUAAAUUGUUAUGGUGUGUUUCACAGUAAACUUUAGUAUCAGCUCCUACUUACUGCCCUGUCGUUUUGUACUCUCACAUGACUGAUUUGUCCACCAUUCCAGCCACUUGUAGUCUACCGAAUUUGUUCUGUUUUGUGAUUUUACGCAUGCUUUCUUUGUCCCUGCAAUGGCUUUCUCUACUGUCUUCACUUGUCUCGGUCCCGAUCUUCCUUUGCAGACUCUACCCAGGUGUCUUUGCUUUGGGGAAAUCUGACUUAAUUUUCUGGCCUUAAUGUUUUGCCCUUAUGCUUUAUUCCCAAAGCACAUUUUCAGAAAAUUUGCCACCUAUUAUUGCAUUAUAUUAUAACUGUGUUUUUUACUUGGCUGAUACUUCAUUUGGCGUCUUCCUAUCUAUGCUGUGAACUUAUUGAGAGGAGGAUGAUACCUUCCCUGUCCUUGGCACAGUACCUGGUAUAUAGUAGAUCUCUAUAAAUAUUUAUUGAAUGGAUGAGUAAUCAGAGCACAGAACCUGGUAUACUGUCCACAUGGCUUACAGGUGGUACAGAGACACCUGUCUUCAGGUUGUGUUUAGUUUACCUGAGAGAUUUGGAACUGAACCAUCACUGUUGCAUCAAAGAGGAAUUAAUUAUGGGUCUUUGGUGUUUCAAAGAUGGGUGAUAUAGCUUGGCUGAGGUUGCCCCUGUCUUGGCAGAGGGCAAGGAUUUUAUGUCUAGAAAUCUGUAGGCAUUGAGAGAAGACUCAGUUUUGAUCUAUUCAUCUGAGAAAGUGUAUUUUGGACAUGGUGGCUGAGACUAUCCUAGAAUUCAUCAUCCAGGAUACCUUUGCUUUUAUCUCACUCAUUUUGGGAUGUAGUAAAUCUGAGGUGUAUUGGAAACAAUGCCAAGGAUUAUUAAGAUGAUGAAGAAUUCUCCAUAUCUGUCUUAGGGACUGGAGCAAAAAUUGGAAUGGACAUGGAACUCUAUUUGGGCCUAGAUAGAAGCUGACUUGCCAAAACUCCCAAAGUCUCUUUGAUUUGUUGGCUGGAGUUGGGCCAAAAACUUUGACAUAGGCUCUGUAUUAAUUAGCACACAGAGUAAGCUGCUGGAAGAAAGAGACCUCAAAAUAUGCAACAGUCUGGAAAUGUGUGGCCAGUUCAGGGUAGGUAUGGGCUCUGUUCUCUGAGGUCAUUCAUGGGCCUUGGUUUCUUUUGUCUUAUUGCUAUUUUAUUUCUUGGACCAGAGGUUGGAAAACUUUAUUAUACAUUAAAAGAUAUGUUGGGCUCCAUGUCCAGAGUUUCCACUUCAGAUCUGGGGUGGGUCUUGAGAAUUUGCAUUUCUAACAAUUUUCCUGGGGAUGCCGAUGCUGUUGGUCUUAGAACUACACUUUGACAACCACUAUCCUAGGGUGUGGUCCUUGUCCAUUUGGCUGUGGUUGGCCCGCCUGCAUCCGCCCAUGUUCCAACCCUGAAGGAAGGGGCAAAGAAAAAGAGCAUGAAGUAGACCUGUUUUAAGGACAGGUCCCAAAAGUUGUACAUAUUCCUUUUGCUUACAUUUCAUUGGCAAGAUCUUUGUAACACAACUGUCUGCAAGGAAGGCUGGGAAAUGGAGCUUCUAGGUGACAGAUCAUGUUCCCAACUAAAAUACGGGUAAUCUGUUACGAAAAGGAAGAAGAGGAGAAAUAGUGGUCUUUGCCCAGCUUUUGCCUUGCGGUCAUAUGUCCUCCUGUGCUCUGUGAUGCAGAGGCAGGAUACUCUCUGCAGGUUCAGAGCAGUUCUCCCAGGACUUGAGAAAUGCCCUGAGCUCAGCCAGGCUCCUGGGGAGUCCUCAGACCCUUGAACUUGGCUUGUGCACUACUGUGGCCUAAAACGUUGAUUUUUCUCCUCCCCGCUGCUGCCCUCCUCCUUUUUCUCUCUCUGCCUCAGACCUCUCCAUCAGGUGGCCCAUUUUCUUCACAGCUGAUACUACAGCAACUGUGUUCUUAUCCUGCUGAUGCUGCUUCCAGUUUUGAUAGUGGUUGACUGCUUGAGGAGGAAUAAAAUUCUUCCUAUUCUUCUCGUGGGUAGCUGAACUCUUAAACCUAUUGCUCCAACCUGAAGCUUGGCCUUCAAAAACAUGAAAUUGUUUUAACCUGCCAGGUUGCCUUGCACAGAGAGUGAAAGAACUGCAUUAUAUCUAAUAAAAGGAUUUCUGAUUUGUAACAAAAGUGGUCCAUAAUGUGGGUUUCACUGACCUAUG